rnacentral:tRNA from 1 species
GGGCGCUUAGCUCAGUUGGUUAGAGCAUUACCUUCACACGGUAGGGGUCACUGGUUCGAGUCCAGUAGCGCCCACCA